UAGAGUUUUCUAAACUCCCAACCCUUUGUGAACUUACCUUUGUUGCCUCGGCGGGGCCUACCCGGUACCGGCUCCCUAUCGGGAGAAGUUACCCUGUAGCCCGCCGGUGGAUUUUCAAACUCUUGUUAUUUUUAACGAUAUCUGAGCGUCUUAUUUUAAUAAGUCA
rnacentral:misc_RNA from 1 species